rnacentral:tRNA from 1 species
GGGGUUGUGGCUCAGUGGUAGAGAGGUCACCCAGCACGUGCAAGGUCCUGGGUUCCAUCCCCAGCACCACA